CUACAUUAAAGAGGCUCUCCUCCAAGGUCUUCAGGCUUGGGAUUUAAGAGUCGGAGGCACAGGAAGUACUCAACAAACCCUAGCAGAAUCAACAAGAGUUCCAGCAUGCAGCUGACCACUCCCUAUACCAAAGGCUGUUUCUGAAGUGGCACCAAGUUUGUUAGAGAAGGAGCAGAGCUACAAGUCCCGGAGCCAGACCACAGAGGCAGACAGGUUCCUCCGAACUGGGUUGUGCCGGGAAGGCAGCUGCUGUUUACCCUGCCUGUCACAGACACAGCUACUGCUCUAUGUCAGCUGUCAGCCACAGAACAGGUCUCCACACACAGAAAAACAAGGAUGACCUCUGUUGCAGAAAAAGCAAAACACAGUAGUGUUGGGGAGCUUUACAGUAAGUUCUCUUGCAGAAAGGCAAGCUAUAGAACAAAGGUGAUGGACAUGGUGAAACAGCCAAUCAAACAGCUCUGUGUACAGGUUACUUACCUCUUAUGACCGUUUGACCCCUUUCUCAGUUCUGUCCAAUCUAAAUCUUGACUUUGAAUACAAAGGCCAGGACUGUUCCUAUUUCCCAGCACAAUAAACACCACAGCCAUAGUUCUUAUCGCUAGCUCUCAUCUACACCUGAUAAUUAUCUCACCUGUCUCCAAUUGCUGACUACUAAGCGCUAACCUGAUUAAUCACCACAGCACAUAUUUAUUGAGGACCAAACUUUAAUAUUUCAAGGGCACCCCA
rnacentral:lncRNA from 1 species